GACACUUUUCCUGCUAAGAGUAGAUCAGAUGAUAGAUGGAAAAGCUUUGAAAACACUGAGCAAGGCUCAUACCUGCACCAGUGUACCAGUUCAGCUGAUUAAAACAAUCUCACCCAUAAUACCUCCAACCACUGUCAGCUAAAAUGGACCUUGAGCAACAGAAUAUCUG